rnacentral:rRNA from 1 species
UACGUAGGGUGCAAGCGUUUGUCCGGAAUUAUUGGGCGUAAAGGGCUCGUAGGCGGUCCAUCGCGUCGGGAGUGAAAAGCUGGGGCUUAACCCCAGUCCUGCUUCCGAUACGGGUGGACUAGAGGUAUGCAGGGGAGAAUGGGAAUUCCUGGUGUAGCGGUGAAAUGCGCAGAUAUCAGGAGGAACACCGGUGGCGAAGGCGGUUCUCUGGGCAUUACCUGACGCUGAGGAGCGAAAGCAUGGGGGAGCAAACAGG